AAGUCGAGGGGCAGCAUGAACUUAGCUUGCUAAGUUUGAUGGCGACCGGCGCACGGGUGAGUAACACGUAUCCAACCUGCCGAUGACUCGGGGAUAGCCUUUCGAAAGAAAGAUUAAUACCCGAUGGCAUAGUUCUUCCGCAUGGUAGAACUAUUAAAGAAUUUCGGUCAUCGAUGGGGAUGCGUUCCAUUAGGCAGUUGGCGGGGUAACGGCCCACCAAACCUACGAUGGAUAGGGGUUCUGAGAGGAAGGUCCCCCACAUUGGAACUGAGACACGGUCCAAACUCC
rnacentral:rRNA from 1 species